AGUGAACGCUGGCGGUAGGCCUAACACAUGCAAGUCGAACGGCAGCACGGUAAGAGCUUGCUCUUACGGGUGGCGAGUGGCGGACGGGUGAGGAAUACAUCGGAAUCUACUUUUUCGUGGGGGAUAACGUAGGGAAACUUACGCUAAUACCGCAUACGACCUACGGGUGAAAGCAGGGGAUCUUCGGACCUUGCGCGAUUGAAUGAGCCGAUGUCGGAUUAGCUAGUUGGCGGGGUAAAGGCCCACCAAGGCGACGAUCCGUAGCUGGUCUGAGAGGAUGAUCGGCCAACUUGAAACGGGAAACGGGUCCGAACUCCUACGGGAGGCAGCAGUGGGGAAUAUUGAACAAGGGGCGAAAGCCUGAUCCAGCCUUACCGCGUGGGUGAAGAAGGCCUUCGGGUGGUAAAGCCCUUUUGUUGGAAAAAAAAAGCAGCAGGUUAAAACCCCGCUGUUCGGACGGUACCCAAAGAUAAAGCACCGGCUAAUUUGGU
rnacentral:rRNA from 1 species